AGAGUUUGAUUAUGGCUCAGAUUGAACGCUGGCGGCGUGCUUAACACAUGCAAGUCGCGCGUGAAAGGACUUCGGUCCGAGUAAAGCGGCGCACGGGUGAGUAACGCGUGGAUGAUCUACCCAUGAGUUAGGAAUAACGGCUGGAAACGGUCGCUAAUACCAAAUACGCUCCGAUUUCAACUUCGGGGGAAAGGUGGCCUCUGCUUGCAAGCUACUGCUCAUGGAUGAGUCCGCGUCCCAUUAGCUAGUUGGUGGGGUAACGGCCCACCAAGGCGACGAUGGGUAGCCGGUCUGAGAGGAUGACCGGCCACACUGGGACUGGAACACGGCCCAGACUCCUACGGGAGGCAGCAGUGGGGAAUAUUGCGCAAUGGGCGAAAGCCUGACGCAGCGACGCCGCGUGAAGGGAUGAAGGUCCUCGGAUCGUAAACCUCUGUCAGGAGGGAAGAACCGCCACGGUGCUAAUCAGCCGUGGUCUGACGGUACCUCCAAAGGAAGCACCGGCUAACUCCGUGCCAGCAGCCGC
rnacentral:rRNA from 1 species